rnacentral:lncRNA from 1 species
CAGACACUCUAGAAUCACCUGCAGGGCAUACCGGAACCACCUCUCAGAAGUGCCAGAACCACAUGUCGGACACUACGGAAUCACCUGCCGGGCAUGCCGGAACCACCUGUAACAUGUGCCAGAAACACGUGCCGGAGAUGCCGGAAGCACCUGCCGAGCACGCCAGAACCGCCUGCACGACUCGCCAGAACCACCUGCUGGACACGCAAAAAUCACCUGCCGGCUACGCCACAACCAGUUGGUGAACACUUCCCAAUCACCUGCCGGGCUUGCUGGAACCACCUGCCGGUCAUGCCAAAAUCACCUGCCAACUACGCCAGAACCACUUGGUGGACACUGCAGAAACACCUGUCUGGUCAGCCGGAACCACAUCUCAGACGUGCCAGAACCAUGUGCAUGAGAUGCCGGAACCACACCCCGAACAGACAGAACCACCUGCCAGACCUGCUUGAACGAUGUGCCUAGCACGCUGGAACCACCUGCUGGACUCGCUGGAACCACCCUACCUGACAUACCAAAACCACCCUGCCGGGUACGCUAGAACCACUUGGCGGACACUCCGGAAUCAUCUGCUGGACAUGCCGGAACCAGCUCGCAGACACACCAGAACCACGUGCCGGGGACGCCAGAAGCACCCACCGAGCUUGCCGGAGACACCUGCUCAACUCACCAGAAACACCUGCCGGACAUGCCAAAAUCACCUGCCGGGUAUGCCAGAACCACUUGGCGGACACUCCGGAAUCACCUGUCCGGCAUGCCGGAACCACCUCUCAGACUUGCCAGCACCAUGUUCUGGACACGCCGGUACAACAUGCCAAGUAUGCCGGAACCACCUGAUCCACUCACCAGAACCACCUGCUGGACACGCCAAAAUCACCUGCUGGCUAUGCCAGAACCACUCGGCAGACACUCCGGAAUCACCUGCCGGGCCUGCCGGAACCACCUCUCAGAGGUGCCAGAACCACAUGCCGGAGACUCCGGAAUCACCUGCCGGGCAUGCCGCAACCAUCUCUCAGAUGUGCCACAAGCACAUGCCGGAGAGACCGCAAGCACCUGCCGAGCUCACCAGAACCAUCUGCUGGACAUGCCGGAACCACCUGCCUCACAGGCCAAAAUCAUAUGCCGGCUACGCCAAAACCAAUUGGUGGACACUCCAGAAUCACCUUGCGGGCAUGCCGGAACCACUUCAUGGACAGACUGCAAAUACCUGCUGGACCUGCCUGAACCACGUGCCGAGCACGCUGGAACGACCUGCUGGACUCACCAGAGCCACCUGCCUGACACACCAGAAACACCCACGGGUUACGCCAGAACCACUUGGAGGACUCUCUGGGAUCACCUGCCAGGCAUGCCGGAACCACCUCUCAGACAUGCCAGAACCAUGUGCCAGACACGCCGGAACCACCUGCCGAGUAUGCCGGAACCACCUGAUCCACUCCCCAGAACCAUCUGCUGGAUACGCCAAAAUCACCUUCCGGCUACGCCAGAAACACUCGGCAGACACUCCGGAACCACCUCCAGGACAGACCGGAACCCCCUGCCGGACACGCCAGGACCACCUGCUUGACUCACCAGAACCACCUGCCGGACACGCCAAAAUCACCAGCCGGCUACACCACAAUCACUUGUCAGACACUCCGGAAUCACCUGCCGGGCAUGCUGGAACC